rnacentral:rRNA from 1 species
UACGUAGGGUGCGAGCGUUACUCGGAAUUACUGGGCGUAAAGCGUGCGUAGGUGGUUCGUUAAGUCUGAUGUGAAAGCCCUGGGCUCAACCUGGGAAUGGCAUUGGAUACUGGCGAUCUAGAGUGCGGUAGAGGGCAGUGGAAUUCCCGGUGUAGCAGUGAAAUGCGUAGAGAUCGGGAGGAACAUCUGUGGCGAAGGCGACUGCCUGGACCAGCACUGACACUGAGGCACGAAAGCGUGGGGAGCAAACAGG